rnacentral:rRNA from 1 species
AACGAACGCUGGCGGCAUGCCUAACACAUGCAAGUCGAACGAGACCUUCGGGUCUAGUGGCGCACGUGUGCGUAACGCGUGGGAACCUGCCCUUAGGUUCGGAAUAACUCCCCGAAAGGGGUGCUAAUACCGGAUAAUGUCUUCGGACCUAAGAUUUAUCGCCUUUGGAUGGGCCCGCGUUAGAUUAGCUGGUUGGUAGGGUAAAAGCCUACCAAGGCGUCGAUCCAUAGCUGGUCUGAGAGGAUGAUCAGCCACACUGGGACUGAGACACGGCCCAGACUCCUACGGGAGGCAGCAGUGGAGAAUAUUGGACAAGGGGCGAAAGCCUGAUCCAGCAAUGCCGCGUGAGUGAUGAAGGCCUUAGGGUUGUAAAGCUCUUUUACCCGGGAUGAUAAUGACAGUACCGGGAGAAUAAGCGCCGGCUAACUCCGUG